GACGAACGUUGGCGGCGUGCUUAACACAUGCAAGUCGAACGGAAAGGCCCUGCUUUUGUGGGGUGCUCGAGUGACGAACGGGUGAGUAACACGUGAGUAACCUGCCCUUGACUUUGGGAUAACUUCAGGAAACUGGGGCUAAUACCGGAUAGGAGCUCCUGCUGCAUGGUGGGGGUUGGAAAGUUUCGGCGGUUGGGGAUGGACUCGCGGCUUAUCAGCUUGUUGGUGGGGUAGUGGCUUACCAAGGCUUUGACGGGUAGCCGGCCUGAGAGGGUGACCGGCCACAUUGGGACUGAGUUACGGCCCAGACUCCUACGGGAGGCAGCAGUGGGGAAUAUUGCACAAUGGGCGGAAGCCUGAUGCAGCAACGCCGCGUGCGGGAUGACGGCCUUCGGGUUGUAAACCGCUUUCGCCUGUGACGAAGCGUGAGUGACGGUAAUGGGUAAAGAAGCACCGGCUAACUACGUGCCAGCAGCCGCGGUGAUACGUAGGGUGCGAGCGUUGUCCGGAUUUAUUGGGCGUAAAGGGCUCGUAGGUGGUUGAUCGCGUCGGAAGUGUAAUCUUGGGGCUUAACCCUGAGCGUGCUUUCGAUACGGGUUGACUUGAGGAAGGUAGGGGAGAAUGGAAUUCCUGGUGGAGCGGUGGAAUGCGCAGAUAUCAGGAGGAACACCAGUGGCGAAGGCGGUUCUCUGGGCCUUUCCUGACGCUGAGGAGCGAAAGCGUGGGGAGCGAACAGGCUUAGAUACCCUGGUAGUCCACGCUGUAAACGGUGGGUACUAGGUGUGGGGUCCAUUCCACGGGUUCCGUGCCGUAGCUAGCGCUUUAAGUACCCCGCCUGGGGAGUACGGCCGCAAGGCUAAAACUCAAAGGAAUUGACGGGGCCCCGCACAAGCGGCGGAGCAUGCGGAUUAAUUCGAUGCAACGCGUAGAACCUUACCUGGGUUUGACAUGGAUCGGGAGUGCUCAGAGAUGGGUGUGCCUCUUUUGGGGUCGGUUCACAGGUGGUGCAUGCCUGUCGUCAGCUCGUGUCGUGAGAUGUUGGGUUAAGUCCCGCAACGAGCGCAACCCUUGUUCACUGUUGCCAGCACGUUAUGGUGGGGACUCAGUGGAGACCGCCGGGGUCAACUCGGAGGAAGGUGGGGAUGACGUCAAGUCCUCAUGCCCCUUAUGUCCAGGGCUUCACGCAUGCUACAAUGGCUGGUACAGAGAGUGGCGAGCCUGUGAGGGUGAGCGAAUCUCGGAAAGCCGGUCUCAGUUCGGAUUGGGGUCUGCAACUCGACCUCAUGAAGUCGGAGUCGCUAGUAAUCGCAGAUCAGCAACGCUGCGGUGAAUACGUUCCCGGGGCU
rnacentral:rRNA from 1 species